rnacentral:misc_RNA from 1 species
GCAACAGAAUUUGAAAUAGAAUGAUACAAAAUUAUCUAUAGUUGUUGGCCUUGGUCUUCACAUAAGGCCUUAGAUUUUCCCAGGCUGAUCCAAACCACCUCCAUUUACCAGCAUAGUUUGCAGAGUUUCAAGACAGGAGGCCAUCAUGCUGAUAGCAUUACAGUUUCAAGCAAUCCCCUGAAUCAUACCAUUAGUUUUAAUGGUGUGGCAAAUUUCUUUCUUAUCUAUAAACCAUUUUGGAUACGAAAGGGCCGAAUUAAUGUUGUGAAUAAUAUAGAGUACACAAUGUUCUCGCAUUAAUGUACAGGGCUUCAAAUCACAGAAACAACCUCUCUGCAAAAGCAAAUGGAAGUCUGCAAGUGCAUUGCAUACAAGGGUAACAAAACUUCUCUAUUACAAUAGCAUUUCUUAAAAUCCUUUGACCAAUCAAUAAAGUGUACCACGUCUAAGCUAGACAUCAACCACAAACAAAUUAUGUGCAGAAGAAAGAGCAAAGCUUCGAACUUGCUUCUUGCACUGGUAAGAGAUACAAACUCAAAGAUUAUAAUCACAUCAUUUAGAUGUUCAGAAAGCCCUUAUCCUUCAAACUUUCAAUUGUGUCCUUAAGAGUAACCUCCACAGGAAUGAAAUCGAUACCCAAAGUUUUCACUUUUUCUUUAGAUACCUCAUAUUUUGACACAAAAGGCUUGUCAUCUGCACAUCUGCUUUAUGAAAGGGAAGCAAACAGAACUUUGGUUACAUUAGCGUAUUUUUUUUUAUCAGAGAAUUUGUUAUUAAAUAAAAGAAAGAUUUCAAAGAAUGCUGAUCAUGACACUCAUAAUCCCAUAAUUUAACUGUCAUCUGAAUAUUAUAUUAACACAUAUCUCAGGUAACAUGGCAUGUUGAAUAAUUGAUCUAAAGGCCACCUGAAGUCUAAAUUGACUGGCAUUCACUGCAAUGCAAAUAAAAAAUAACUUACCUUUCAGGAAGUCCCAAAGUGGGGUAGUGUUCAUGCACAAUCUCCAAAACUUCAGAGAAGUGUGUAACCCUUGCAACUAAACAGUAUCUGCCACUAGCUGAAGGUCUUUCAAAAGCUUGAAUAUGUGCAUUUGCAACAUCUCGAACAUCAACCAAUCUAAGGUUCUCAUUUGGAAAUAUCUGAGCUCCAUUUAUGUUGUUCAAAAUCACCUCCAAAGUGAGAUUAAUAGUUGGCUGCAAGAAAGGACCAAUCACCCAUCCUGGAUGCAGUGUAACCAAGUCAAUUCCAUUUUCUUUUGCAAAUUUCCAAGCAACAUCCUCAGCUAAGGUUUUUGAAACAGCAUACCAAAUCUUCUUUUCCUCACAAAAAGCUCUAUCGGAAAACCAGGUCUCAUCAACAACCACAUCAGGGCUGAGAGGUUUUCCAUUGAACAUUACUGUUGUCAUAGAAGAUGUUAUAACCACUCUUUUGAUAGAAGGAACUUUUGCACAUGACUUAAGAACAUUCAGCGUUCCCUUCACUGCUGGUUCAAGCAAAGCUGCCUCAGGGUUACUCGUUGAAAGAAUCACAGGUGAAGCUGUGUGAAAUACACCACUACAACCAUCAAUAAUUCCAUCAAAAGAUCCCUCUUCCACUAAAUUUGCUUUGAACAAGUGAAGCCUUUCUUUGGCUCCAUCAAGAGCAAGCAAGUGUUCCGUUUUCUUAGGAUCCUUUGGAUCACGAACAGUGGCUUUAACUGUAUAACCUCGCAGAAGUAAGAGCUUGACCAACCAUGAAGCUAUGAAACCUGCGCCUCCUGUUACACACACUACCCUUCCUUCUCCACUCAUUCUAUCUCUUUCAGAAGCUUCCCUCCACAAAGUCUUAAGUGCAGAAAUAUAUGUAGACAAAAGCUUGAUUGUAG